GGCGUGGAGCCCGGCGCGGCCGUCGGAGAAGUCGAAGCGCAGGCCGGCCUCACGCGCCCCUCGCGGAGGCGUCCUGGCCUGGGGGCGCGGGGUCCGGCGUCCCGGGUGCUGUUCUCGGGUCCCUGGGCCGACAGGUCGCGGGGUGGGCACCUGUCCAGCUUGGAGCGCGGGGAACUGCGUUCCUUUACGGCGCUGGGAGGUGACACUGGCGGGCGGCCCGAGGCGGCCGAGGGACCCGGAGCUCGCGCGUCUGGUCCGGGGGUGGGGGUGGGCGACUAAGUCGGCACCCGGAGGCUCCAGAGCCUUUCCCGGCUCACCCAGCACCUGGGCAGGAACUGAGCUGUUCACCUGGCCGGAGGACAGGGUGGAGGGGAAGCUUGGGGCUUCUCCGUCUGGGUGCCAGGCAGGGUGGAUCAGUGGGGCACCGCUGUCGGGGCACCUGUGGAGAUCCUGUUCCGUUUGUGUGGGGAAGCUGUGUUUUCAUUGGGAGGGCCGGCUUUGACACCAAUGGAGCCCUUGGAAUUGGGCUCACUGUUGGUUCUUGGGAAGGGGCGUUUGGGCAGAAACUGACAGCUUGUUUCCAACUCCCCUACUCCUCGCAGGUGACCCUGCCUUACUGGACGUUUUUAGAGAGUGGGAAUGUUUUGGGGGGGAAGAAGGUGUGUAUGUGGGGGGUCGCUGGCAUGGUGCCUUUCCCAGGCUGGGAGCCCUUUGUGGGCACCUAGCUGCUGACUCUCAAACUUCUCAGGGGCUGAUUUGGGCCCAUCUGGGGAAGUUAGAGGCGUUUCACUUCUGCCACCUGGCUCAGUGUGCGUGGGUUGGGGGGAGGCUGCAGUGCACCUUCUUUCAGGCCCGAUCUGGGGGCACAUCUGGGACCCUGAUCAGAAACUUGCUUCUUCCCAUUUCUGUUUGCGUCAUGGCGCCCUCCGUCUGUGUUGGGACAGAAGUUGCAGGUGCCCGGCCUGGUCAGGACCUGAGGAGGAGAAGUGGCUUGGGAGCCCUUUUCCUCUUGCCUGGAAAGUGGGGACUUUGCAGUCAUAAAGUGGCUGGGGAGGGGUCUGGUGUCCGGCUCGUGGAGGCCCUGCUCCAUGUGUGCAUGUGUGUGUGUGUGUGUGUUUGUGUAUACUGGGAAUGGGGGGGCCGAGGGCGGGUGAGGAGAGAGACUAACUAGGAAGGAAUGUGGCUUUCUUCCUGCCCCAGACUUGUUCAGCACCAUUAGCUAAGCCGGGAAUUUCUUCCCCUGUUAACGUUCCCACCACUUUCCUGGUGCCCACCCUUCCCGUGCUUCUUCCCACUUUUUUUUUUUUUUUUUUUUUGGGGGGCAGUUUCCUUCCUGUCCUGGUGUCACAGUUUCCCAUUCACAGAAGAGGUCUCUUUUUUUUAGAAGAGCGAGUUCUCCCCUUGUCAAAAGGAUUCCUCAAGAUGAGGCUAAGGUGCCCUUGCAGGUGAGGAGGAGGAGGUGGUGGGGACACUGUGUCCAGCUUAAGUCUCCUUUCCUUGUGGCAUUCCAGUCUGGAGUCUUUUUCCCUAGGCAGUUCUGACUUGUCCUGCAGGAAGGCGGGCUUUCCUCGAAACAGCUGGGGGAGAGCUCAUGAGUCAUGUAAAUAAGGUGAACUUGGUACCUGGUCACUUAAGAGCCCCGCCUUCCCUGCCAUGCUGCCCUUGCUUGAUCUAGUUGUCCGGAAGGUCUGCCUAUGUGUCCACCUCAUGCUGUCAUACUGCUAUUUUUAAUUUAGGGUGUUGGUUACAUCCCCUAAGCAAGCUGGAUCUUCCUCAUGUGAGGGUGAAGGUAACUACAGACUCUAGCUCAUCCCCCUCGAAGCACAGCUUCGAAGCACACUGUGUAUGACAGUGUUGAUCAGCCAGGAGGGGCUCCCUCAAAGAACUUCUCCAAGCCAGUUGGGGCAUCUAGGCCAGCUGGACUAAACUUUGAGGGUGACCCAAAUUUGAGUUUUUCUCGGAAGCUGACUGAUAAUUUAAGUUACUUGGCAAUUUCAUAUUUAAUAUUACUUGUUGGGCAUUGUAGAGGAUUGAGCUAAAAUCAGGGCGGCUUGGGUGCUUUUGGGUGGUGGGCAUGGGGACGGUGACUUGAAGAACUGGUCUGUGCGACCGGAGAAGUGUAGGGGUUACUAACAAAACCUCUUAUGUGCAGUUGUCAAUAGUGUCUGGAGUUUUCUAUUCUGUAGCACUGUGGUUAUUAUAUGGUUUGUCAAUAGCAACUUGUGGAGAGGGUUUUUAUUUUUACUUUUAAUUGCAAAGAGACUUUCACAGACUCAGAUGUGGCAGGGGACUGGAGAGGAAGUUACUGCGAAAUUUUCUCUCUGGCCAAAGAGAGCCUGUAAUCCUAGCUGUUGGAGGAGCCUGAGUAUAGAAGUCCCCCAUGGUUUCUCUCUCCAGAGGGGUGUGGAGUGUGAGCUGCCUUUGUGUAGACCUAGUGGCCAGUCUGGAAUGUAGCAGAAGGUAAUAUACACGGCUGCCACCGUCUAGACUUAGGCUUCGUGAAGCUUCUUCUUGAAUAUAAAAACUCGAGUGAGUCCCGAGGCAGCUAUGCCUGUAGAUCUCCCAUUUCACUGGGGGCUACUUCUGGGAGAGAAGAGGGCGGAGGUAUAGAUCCAUCCUUCCAAGAUAGCAUCAUGCACCGGCUUAGAGAAGUGUUCCCUGGCCACUCUGAGGAAGUGACCCUCCUUGGGGCACCUGCCUCAACCACCUGGGUAUUUCUGUUGCUGGGUGACCUUCUCUCCUGGUUUAUAAGCUCCUUGGUGGAGAGGAGCAUAUUGUCGUUAAGGAAAAAUUGAGGACCCAGGGAGGGGCUCCAGAUGCCUGAAGAUUGUAGUCUAUCUGAGUUUGAAUCUUGGUUCUACCCGCUUGAGGCCUUGGGCUAGUGAGUGACCCCUCCCAGUCAAGAUUCCUCCCCUUUGGGGCUAUGAGGAUUCCGGUGCCUGAUCCUCUCCCAGCUCUGGAUCCUUCUUGUCCUCAGGACUGUGCAUAUUCCAGUAUCUGACCCUUCCCAGCUCUCACUCUUUCUUCUUGCAGGGUUGCAAGGUCCUACUGCCCGACUCUUUUUUGAGCUCUGGAUUCUUCUUCUCUUAGCUGGGAGGUUCCUAGUGUCUGGCCAUGUCUGAGCUCUAGAUCUUUCUCCUCAAGACUGUGAGGGUCCCAGUACCCAACCCCUCCCAGUUCCAGAUCCUUCUGUCAGGGCUGUGAGGGUCCCAGUGCCCUGCCCUCUCUCAGCUCUGGCUCCUUCUUCUCUUCAGGCUGUGAGGAUUCUGUUGACAUGUGUGUGGCCAUCAGUGCAGCCCUAACACCCCUAACCUCCCUCCUCCCUGUUCUCAGCACUUGGUACUUGUACCCAGAGCUGGUUCCCACCUGGAGGUUUGAAUAGACUUUGUGGGAGGCAGGGAGCCUGGGUUCCUGCAUCCACCCAAAUCUGAUUGAGCAGCUGGUUUGCACAGGGCUACUGCUCAGGGGCUGUAUGUUCCGAAGUGACCGAGAUGGGCCUCUAGUGUCAUGAGCUGACAUUCUGGAGGCAGGAGGCAUAUAAUAGUGAACAAGACAGCACAGAAAUGGGCACAAAGAACUUGACAGCCGCCAGCAGUAGGAAGGAAAUAAAAUGGGAUGAUGUGAUGCUGUGGGGUGGUGUAAAAGGGUGCUGAUUGAGAGAGGUGCUUCGAGGUGAUGCCAGGGCUGAGGUCUCUGGGUGAGGGAUCCUGUGUAGGGAGGGCUGGGGGUUCCAGGCACGCUGCCUUCAAGCCUUGAGACACAAGAGACUGGGGAGGGUGUUGGGGCAUGGAGGACAGCUGCCAGGGCUCUGUCCUGGGGAAGGGUGUGUGGGGAGAGGACAUGCAGGAGGCCUGCCGCAAAUACUCCAUGACUGUUCUAGAGCUGUGCUGGGGGCUGCUCGCCUGCUGCUAAGGGGGCGGCUGUGUGGAUGUCAGCUCGGGCACUGGUGGCAGGAGGAGCCUUAAUUUAGCCUCUGUUCCCCUCCCACAGCGAGGCCCCGGGAAGUAAGCUUGUCUCCCCUUUCUGGGGGUGCCCACCUAGCCCUAAGCAGGACAGCUUCUUGCCAGCUCUGUCUGCUUUUCAGACCAGCCGUCUUCAGAAAUAGCUGGUGCUGCCCCUCUUGGCUAUGGGCCAGGCCCCUCUAAGUCCUUUGUCCAGGCUCCUGUCAUCUUCUUGACAACCUUGGCUGGAAGGCUAGCUGAUUGUUCCCACUAUGCCUUUGAGGGCCGUUGGCACCCAGAGGGUCAUCGGCCACCUGCCCAAGAUCACUUGGAUUGUCCUCUGGCCCAGGCUGCCUCUUGAGUUGGGAGGGAGUUUGAGCCACUGGGAUGCAACUAUGAAAGGGGAUCCCACCACGGUCUCCAGUUCUAGUUAAAUGCCAGCGCUCUGGACUCCUGCAAGCACGGGUGACAUGAAUGGCCAUGCGAAUUCCUGAGGUUGUCACUGUGACUGUACUGUGCCCCCUGCCCUGAGAAAGCCUAAAGAUGGUGACAACCAACACCUGUGGCUCACCGGCCACACGCCAGCGCUGGCCCGAGCUGCACACGUUACUUUAUCUCACCCCCAUCUGUCAGGCCUGUGGCGGGGAGUGGUUCCCACUUGUCAGGUGAGGAAAUGGGAACGGAGGAGGUCAAGUCACCGGAAGGAAUUUCCCAACUGGGAUGGGGCUGAGAACCAGCUUGGGAUGGCUCCAAGCUCUGCCCCCUCUGAAGGGAGGUGGCCUGGCAGGCCGGGCCAGGUGGAUCGGGCCGGCCUGUUGGUGUCCCGAGCACCGCUUCCUGUCUCCUGCCCUCUGGCUGUAGGGGUUCAGUUUACUUGUGUAUUUCAAAGUACGCUCUUGAUAGUUGUGGGUGGGUGAAUCCUUCCUAGAAGGCUCUUGUCUCAUAGGUGCUGUGACAGGAUGUGUGAAUGACCCAGGGUGUGGGGGCAAGGGAUAGAAGUUUCUGCGGGCGGCCAGUGAGAUUGUGGGGAGGGGCCGGGCCCCGCCUCGGCCACUGUGACCCUUGACUAGGCUUCUGGCUUGCGCGCUGUUCCUGCCACCACCACCACGGUGACUGUGGUGAUUGUGUGUAAACAGCAGGCUGCUUGGCAGAAACCCACCCUCUGUUGACUCAUCGCAAGGCCAGAGUUCAUCACCCUUGAAGUAGUUUUGACAUCAUAGCCAGAUUGUGACAUCUCUGGAGUGUCUUUGACAAUAACACUGCUUCCCCUGUUCCGAGUAACUGGUUCUGGAGCAGACGCUGGUUUCAGGAAGUCUCCUUCUCAUGUGGCAGCAGCCCUGCCUGAUGCAGCCUGGCCAGGCCCAGGCUGCCAAUCCAUGCCUGUGGGGUUUGGCCUCCUUUGAGUCCUUCAUUUUUAGGGCCUUGCUCCCCUGCCCCUGUCUUUAUGAGUUUCUCUUGGGUCUGUGACGAGCACAACCUGGAGUUGUCUGAGAUCUUACCUCCGGUGAUAUGUGGCCGCUCCACAGUCAACCAAGUGCCCAAAGGGAUGCUUUUGAGAACAGUCCCCCCAAGUGACCUCUGACCUGUAGGUGCAGUGAGUGACAGACAACUAUAGUAUGUAGUUGUUUUAUCACUUUACUUUUUAACAGAAAAGCUGGUGUCCAAAUUAACCAUCCAGUGAGAGACCUCCUGUCUCCACACCAAGUGGCUGCAUUGGAGUCUGAUGCUAAUUAUAUUCUCUGGUCUAGGUCCCUCCCUGGCCAUUGUGAUGCAGCUCUUUCUUGGCUGAGUCACCAGGUCAGGGCAUGUUGGUGACUCCCUGCAGCCCUUCUGGAGGGGAGGGGGCCUCUCAUGUUUGUCAAGUUCAUGGGGUCAUGGAACUCCUAUUUAAAAGUAACACGUGUUGAGGGACACCUGGAUGGCUCAGUUGGUUGAGCGGCCGUCUUCGACGCAGGUCAUGAUCUCGAGGUGGGACCCACCGUGCUCCUCGUGGAACAAGAUCACCUCUCCUGCUGUGACUUUUGGCCUCCGUCGGCGGCUGGAAGUUGUCCUGGCGGGUCCCCAUAAGUGAUGCUCACUCCAAGGUUCUGCUCUGGUGAAUUAAAUGUGUGAAGUUGGCACCCA